rnacentral:tRNA from 2 species
GGGUGAUUAGCUCAGCUGGGAGAGCACCUCCCUUACAAGGAGUGGGUCGGCGGUUCGAUCCCGUCAUCACCCACCA